rnacentral:rRNA from 1 species
AAAUUGAAGAGUUUGAUCAUGGCUCAGAUUGAACGCUGGCGGCAGGCCUAACACAUGCAAGUCGAACGGUAACAGGAAGCAGCUUGCUGCUUCGCUGACGAGUGGCGGACGGGUGAGUAAUGUCUGGGAAACUGCCUGAUGGAGGGGGAUAACUACUGGAAACGGUAGCUAAUCCCGCAUAACGUCGCAAGACCAAAGAGGGGGACCUUCGGGCCUCUUGCCAUCGGAUGUGCCCAGAUGGGAUUAGCUAGUAGGUGGGGUAACGGCUCACCUAGGCGACGAUCCCUAGCUGGUCUGAGAGGAUGACCAGCCACACUGGAACUGAGACACGGUCCAGACUCCUACGGGAGGCAGCAGUGGGGAAUAUUGCACAAUGGGCGCAAGCCUGAUGCAGCCAUGCCGCGUGUAUGAAGAAGGCCUUCGGGUUGUAAAGUACUUUCAGCGGGGAGGAAGGCGACAGGGUUAAUAACCCUGUCGAUUGACGUUACCCGCAGAAGAAGCACCGGCUAACUCCGUGCCAGCAGCCGCGGUAAUACGGAGGGUGCAAGCGUUAAUCGGAAUUACUGGGCGUAAAGCGCACGCAGGCGGUCUGUCAAGUCGGAUGUGAAAUCCCCGGGCUCAACCUGGGAACUGCAUUCGAAACUGGCAGGCUAGAGU